rnacentral:lncRNA from 10 species
CAUCUCGGCCUCCCAAAGUGCUGGGAUUAUAGGCAUGAUACACCGCGCCCGGCCUAGUGUUUUAUUCUUUGAAGAAUGCUUCUAAAACAUCGCGCCAAGUCAAUCUGAAAGGUAAAGUUUAAAAUCUUUUUAAAGGAUAAGUUAUAUGUAAUGACUGUUCACUCUACAAAAUCUUAAUCUUAGGGCUUAUGAGGCACCCAGUUGGCAGUAACAUCCAGGUUUUCCAAAUAGCCAGUUAUCAUUUUUCUCGUCUGCAUAGAUUUCUCAUUAACUGCCUCCUGUUUUGUUGCAUGAUCUCAGAGUCCCCCUGCUUUCUCUGAGAGGUGGUCAAGCUAUCCUCUUUUCUUCUUCGCUUGCUAAUUUCCUGGGUUUUCUUCAUGUUUUCUGGCGGGCAAGUUCUCGUUGAUUUCCACGGACCAUGCCGACCACCGACAGAGCCAGGAAGAAAGCAAGUCGGAAAAGCAACGGUUCCCUGGCACGCUGGGCUACCGUCACUGCUGCUGGAUUUUUUAUGGGUCCAUUUCCCGCAGGCGUUUUUUACUGAUUGCGUGGGUUUGUACACCUGUUUCCCCCACCUGCUUCACAGCGGCAACUUCUCAUUAAUAAGGACUCAAACGCUCAGUAGCCCCUGUUGAGAUGCUAAUCAGCUGUCUGGCUUGGGUGGCCUGGAUUAAUUGCACCGUACGCAGCCUCUCCUGAGGAGUUCGCAUCAACGGCUGCUCCCAUUCUCAGACAGGAGGACAGAGCUGCCAGCCGGACAGAACGUCAGUGCUGACGUCAGCGUUCACGUGUGCAGGAGGAGAGCCCUGAGGGACCCCGCUGGGGACUGGUGCUGUUUCUGCCUGCG